AGUAACGCGUGAGCAAUCUGCCUUUAAGAGGGGGAUAACAGUCGGAAACGGCUGCUAAUACCGCAUAAAGCAUUAAAUUCGCAUGUUUUUUGAUGCCAAAGGAGCAAUCCGCUUUUAGAUGAGCUCGCGUCUGAUUAGCUGGUUGGCGGGGUAACGGCCCACCAAGGCGACGAUCAGUAGCCGGACUGAGAGGUUGAACGGCCGCAUUGGGACUGAGACACGGCCCAG
rnacentral:rRNA from 1 species